GGCUCUGUGGCGCAAUGGAUAGCGCAUUGGACAUAGGCUGUGAGCUGAGCCAUUCAAAGGUUGUGGGUUCGAGUCCCACCAGAGUUG
rnacentral:tRNA from 1 species